UCGGACAUGUGCACAGCGACACAAUGACACGUUGCAUGAUAUCUUUCUUUUAGCGACCAUCCAGUAGGAGCGUGGCCUGCUAGAAAAAAAGAGAGCGAGGGAGAGUAAAAGGGUGGGGUUGGAUCCCAACGGCGGCGGCGGCGGCGGGGGUAGCGAGGAGAUCGCGACGGGUAGCCUCCUGCCGGGUGAAGAGGAGACGAAGAAGAAAGUGGGACGAGGUAGGGCUGGUCGCGGUGGGGGCGGGGAAAAGAGAGCAGCCGAUAACAGCUACUCGUACCGCCGUGGGGCGUUUUUUUUUUCUACUCGUACCGCCGCCGCCGCAACUCUCGGAGUACCCCCUGUAGGUCCGUCUACUUCCCCACCGCCGUACCUAGACCACUGUCACCACAGCCUCGAACUCCGGCUCUCCUGAAGCUGGGAUCCGGGAGCGGCAGACGGAGGAAAAGUAGAAAAAAACGAGCACGACGAGCAAUAGAUGUACCCAGCAGCUGCUUCUUCAGUCCCUCCUCGCCUACGAUAGACCCCCCCACCGAUCCUGGUCUAGCUGGUACCGCUACCGUAGCAACUGAGGGACGACCGGAACGUCAAAACGUUAAAUCCAUAGUUUCCUUAAUCCAUAAUAGUCGUACUUAUGAUAAAUGUGUCAGACAAGAAAAUAAAUCUAACUGGCAGAAACUUCAUUAACUGUACAUCUGACGACGUUUUACUUAGUCAUUACAAAAUUAAUUGAAUUUUUUGAACGGUCCAACCUAUAUAGAAACAGUCUAUAAAUAUAGUAACAAAAAGAAGACAAGUAAACAACCCAUCCCGGCUCUGGUCACCCAAGUAACGAUCCCCGAUAACAUAAACAGAACGAUGGCUGACAUCUACACUAGUGACUAAGAGUAACUGACAUCAACAUCAAAGUCUUCAUCCUACCGAUCGUCAGUAGUAUAUAACCAAUUCAACAUAAACAAAACCCAUGUUGUUCUACUACUAGUUCUCUUAGGGCUACUUUUCGUAGUACGACUAAGACUACACCUUUAUCUACUACGGUUCGGAAACCUCCUUAGACUUUCCUCUUCGUUAUGAGUUCUCACGCUCUCAACUGUCUCUUACACGCUCUCAAUUCGUCAUAACAUCAUCUAGUGUAAAGUCCCUAUGGUAACUAAAUAAAAAGAGAAGAAUGAAAAUAAUCUAUCCGGUGUAAGAAAAAGAAAAUGAGUACGGAAACAACGACUACCACGACAACACAUUUAAGUUGUAACUACAAAUCACAAUACUGUACCAAAUGUGUUCGACUUUAAAACUAGGGAACCUCCAACGUCCACGACUGUUAGAUUAAGGUUACCUUGACCGGGAAUUUUAAUGUUGGUUCUAAUGUCAACCAUACUCAAUGAACGACUCUCAGUCUUUAAUGUUGGUUCUAAAACAUUGUGCUGAAAAUUUGGUUCUCUAAAAAGUAGAAUCUACGAUGGCUGUACUCGACCAUUACAGCACGAUGGUACCUCUUUUGUAUCGAUCCCGCGAGGGGCCGGACCUCGAGACGAUGAGGUACUGCGCCUCCAAGGAGCUGUUCGUCUGCCGCCACCAGCCCGUCCACAUCGGGCGCCGUCGCGACGGGUAGGACCUGACCUUCUAGAGGCAAGGACCAUUAUGAACAAAGGACAUGUGGACGAAAAAAUAAAACCAUUCCAAAGUAAAAAGCCCACCACGGUUGCCACCUUGAAACAAGAACAAUAAACCACACGCCCGAGAGACUAAAACUCUACUGAUCUCCAUUUGAAGUCAAGUCUCAUAAUCUAACAAACCAAAUUAAUUCAGUCACCCACUCCCCAAAGUACAAAUCUAAAGUCACAUCAUAUCAUCAUAGGACUUAAGAAUACGACAUUACACUUAAGAUUUCUAUAUUCUUUAGGUACGUCUUAUAAAACGACAAACGUGGUUUGUUAUACGUAGGUUCAAUAACGUUAUUACCCCUUAAUACAUUGGUCAUCAUGCGCUGUAAAAUAUACUUAUAUACUAAAACUAGUAAGUACAAGGGAGCUUAGAACGAAUAAUUGUUGUGAAAAGAGUCAAACAAGGUACAUAUAUCACAUAAUCUGAUGACAAGUGAUAGAUAGUUAGGAUAGAAGUACAUGGACACACACAAACCAUGUCAUGAACUAGAGAAUACUAAAUCCCUCGAGAAGUCUUAGACUCUUCUUUAACUACAUUCUAAAUAAAAGGAUAAGAACCUUUGAGUACGAUACCUCUUAGUAUUACUAUAAGAGUAACAUGUCCGCCACGUUCCAGAUUGUACUAACACGACUACGAGAGAGGAAACAUCUCCUGGUAGGGCUACAGACCCAAAGCCGUACCACCACUCCACGGACUCCAGUACCGAGACUCAGUCCUUGGAGAAUAACUCGCACGGUCAUGAAGUACCACCACUGCAUACAGAACUACUAUCAGGUCAAACUAUUUUACGGUUAUCCUCGUCCAGACACUUCGGUUAUCCUCGGUCAGUCAUUUGAUCACUACGUCAGAGUGACAAGUAGCAGAGAUCUGCGUGGAUAUACUAGGUACAUAGAUCAAAGAGAGGUUUUGAACACUACGGACGCAACACUACUAGGCUCCUUGAGACGGAGAUAAAACCUCUAGCGGGUAGAAAACCUCUGGCGACUUGAAACUAAACUUGGCGACUUACACAGAAACACUAGUCAGUAGGUGAAACAUUCUAACAGUUGAGAGACAAUUCGAUAGUCGUAUCUACUUUGAUGAACGAACGAGACGAAAUACUUACUUGUGAGAAGAUGAC
rnacentral:rRNA from 1 species